AGUCAAGCUACGAAAGGCAUACGGUGGAUGCCUUGGCGUCAGGAGUCGAAGAAGGACGCGAUAAGCUGCGAAAAGCCGUGGGGAGCCGCAAAUAGGCCUCGAUCCACGGAUAUCCGAAUGGGGCAACCCAGUGCGAGUCAUGUCGCACUACCCGAAAGGGAGACAAACCCGGUGAACUGAAACAUCUAAGUAGCCGGAGGAAAAGUAAUCAACAGCGUUCCGCUCAUGAAUGGGCUGGAUGCAGAUGCGCAGGAUGUGAUUUCUUCAGCGAGGCGGAAGAGCGAGUCAUAGCGGUGGCUAUGUCGAGCGAUGACAACGAAGCGGAAGGAAGCACAGACAAGCAGAUGCGCCAGCAUAUCCAUGAGUGGAGCGCGUGAGAUUCCCUCAGUAGCGGCGAGCGAAGCGGGAAGAGCCCAAACCGAAAGCUUUCGGGCUUUCGGGGUUGAGGACCAGCAGAAAGGGAAAGCAGUCUAGUGGAACGGCAUGGGAAGGUCGGGCGAAGAGAGUGAGACCCUCGUACACGAAAGGCUGAAGAACGGGCUGGAAUCCAGAGUACCACGGGACACGAGGAACCCUGUGGGAAGCCGGGUGGACCACCAUCCAAGGCAAAAUACUACCUGACGACCGAUAGAGGAAAGUACCGUGAGGGAAAGGCGAAAAGAACCGCGGGAGCGGAGUGAAAUAGAACCUGAAACCGUAUGUCCACAAGCAGUCGAAGCGCUUUAUAUGCGCGACGGCGUGCCUAUUGAAGAAUGAACCGGCGAGUUAUCCUGUCGAGCGAGGUUAAGCGGAAAACGCGGAGCCGAAGCGAAAGCGAGUCUUAAAAGGGCGAAGAGUUCGACGGGGUAGACCCGAAACCACAGUGAUCUAUGCAUGGCCAGGCUGAAACUCAGGUAAAAUUGAGCGGAGGGCCGAACCCGUGAGUGUUGAAAAACUUUGGGAUGAGCUGUGCAUAGGGGUGAAAUGCCAAUCGAACGUGGAGAUAGCUGGUUCUCCCCGAAAUAGCUUUAGGGCUAGCCUCGAGUGAUGCAUGCAGACGGUAGAGCACUGAUCGGGCAAGGGGGCGUAAAGCCUACCGACCCCAGUCAAACUGCGAAUGGCUGCAUGUCAAGCUCGGGAGUCAGCGUGCGAGUGAUAAGACCCGUACGCAAGAGGGAAACAGCCCAGACCGCCAGCUAAGGUCCCCAAUGCUGUACUAAGUGGAAAAGGAUGUAGGAAUUCGAAAACAACCAGGAUGUUGGCUCAGAAGCAGCCACCAUUUAAAGAGUGCGUAAUAGCUCACUGGUCGAGAGUCCCUGCGCCGAAAAUAUCCGGGGCUCAAGUACAGAACCGAAGCUGCGGCUGCAUACGAAAGUAUGCGGGGUAGGGGAGCGUACCAUGCGCAGCGAAGCCGUACCGGAAGGAGCGGUGGAGCGCAUGGCAGUGAGAAUGCCGGUAUGAGUAGCGAAAAGGCCAGCAAGAAUCUGGCCCACCGAAAGCCUGAGGUUUCCUGGGCAACGCUCGUCGUCCCAGGGUCAGUCGGGACCUAAGCCGAGGCAGCAAGCAUAGGCGAUGGACAACUGGUGAAUAUUCCAGUACCGCAGGGAGUCGUUUGAGUGAUGGAGUGACGCAGGAGGGAGCUUGGGCGCGCGAAUGGAAGAGCGCGUCGAAGCCGGUAGGCUGCAAGGGAGGCAAAUCCCCCUUGUAAAAGCCGAGACGUGACAGGGAGGCAAACCUAUGGGUGAGCCGAAGCCAAGCGGACCACACUGCCGAGAAAAGCUUCUAGCGAGACGAACUGCGCCCGUACCGAAACCGACACAGGCAGGCAGGGAGAGGAUCCUAAGGUGCGCGGGAAAACCCUCGUUAAGGAACUCUGCAAAUUGCAUCCGUAACUUCGGGAAAAGGAUGGCCGGAACUGGUGAAGACCCAUGCGGUUGGAGCUGGGGCCGGCGACAGAAGAGAAGCCCAAGCGACUGUUUACCACAAACACAGGUGCCUGCAAAAGAGAAAUCUGACGUAUAGGUGCUGACGCCUGCCCGGUGCUGGAAGGUUAAGGGGAGAGGUCAGGAGCAAUCCGAAGCCUUGAGCUGAAGCCCCAGUAAACGGCGGCCGUAACUAUAACGGUCCUAAGGUAGCGAAAUUCCUUGUCGGGUAAGUUCCGACCCGCACGAAAGGCGUAACGAUUUGGGCACUGUCUCGACGAGGGGCCCGGUGAAAUUGAAAUACCUGUGAAGAUGCAGGUUACCCGCGACUGGACAGAAAGACCCCAUGGAGCUUUACUGCAGCUUGGCAUUGAUGCCCGGCGAAUGAUGUACAGGAUAGGUGGGAGGCUAAGAAAGGCGGCCGCAAGGACGCCCGGAGCCGCUGUUGGGAUACCACCCUUCAUUCGCUGGUCAUCUAACCGGAGUAGUUACGACACUCGGGACAGUGCCAGGUGGGCAGUUUGACUGGGGCGGUCGCCUCCGAAAGAGCAACGGAGGCGUCCAAAGGUUCCCUCAGCGCGGACAGAAAUCGCGCGAAGAGCAUAAAGGCAGAAGGGAGCUUGACUGCGAGACCGACAAGUCGAGCAGGUACGAAAGUAGGGCUUAGUGAUCCGGUGGAAUGAGAGUGGAAUUGCCAUCGCUCAACGGAUAAAAGCUACCCUGGGGAUAACAGGCUAAUCUCUCCCAAGAGUCCAUAUCGACGGGGAGGUUUGGCACCUCGAUGUCGGCUCAUCACAUCCUGGGGCUGAAGCAGGUCCCAAGGGUUGGGCUGUUCGCCCAUUAAAGUGGUACGUGAGCUGGGUUCAGAACGUCGUGAGACAGUUCGGUCCAUAUCCAUCGCGGGCGAAAGAAACCUGAAGGGGGCUGCUCCUAGUACGAGAGGACCGGAGUGGACGGACCAACGGUGUACCAGUCAUGGCGCCAGCCGUGCAGCUGGGUAGCUGCGUCCGGAAAGGAUAAACGCUGAAAGCAUCUAAGCGUGAAACCAGCCCUAAGAUGAAGUUUCUCACGGAGUAAUCCGGUAAGGCGCCUCAAAGACGAUGAGGUUGAUAGGCGGGGAGUGGAAGCGCCGCAAGGCGUGCAGCCGACCCGUACUAAUACGCCGAGGGCUUGACUUA
rfam:Selenomonas sputigena ATCC 35185, complete genome.